UACGUAGGGUGCGAGCGUUGUCCGGAUUUAUUGGGCGUAAAGGGCUCGUAGGCGGCCUGUCGCGUCGGGAGUGAAAGCCCACUGCUUAACGGUGGGUCUGCUUCCGGUACGGGCGGGCUGGAGUAUGGCAGGGGAGACUGGAAUUCCUGGUGUAGCGGUGGAAUGCGCAGAUAUCAGGAGGAACACCGGUGGCGAAGGCGGGUCUCUGGGCCUGUACUGACGCUGAGGAGCGAAAGCGUGGGGAGCGAACAGG
rnacentral:rRNA from 1 species